rnacentral:rRNA from 1 species
AGCGGCGAGCGAACAGGAAUAAGCCCAGCACUGAAUCCCGCCGUUGUAACGGCGGCGGGAGAUGUGGUGUUCGGGAGGUUCCGCUUUCUUGUCGUCGUCCACUCCUGUCCAAGUUCGUCUUGAACGGGGCCCAUUUCCCAUAGAGGGUGCCAGGCCCGUAGCGGCGGAGGACGGCGGCGAGAGGGACUCUCCUCAGAGUCGGGUUGCUUGAGAGUGCAGCCCUAAGUGGGUGGUAAACUCCAUCUAAGGCUAAAUACUACCGCGAGACCGAU